UUCCGCGCCCUGCCCGCCCCGGGUUGUGUGGUGAAAGCCUGCUCCCUGCUGACCCGGCCUCGGCAACCAUUUGUUUAAUUGCACUGAAAUGCUGGGAGCGCCCUUCAGCCUCCUCCUCCAGGGGCUGUGGGGAAAAGCACAGAUGAACCCAAUAAGUCACGAAUCAGAACCAAAAUGAGUGCCAAACAGCUUUCUGCCCCCUGUGCCUCUCUGCUCUGUCUCAGUGCGGCCAGCCCCGAGCUUCCUGACCCACAGAGCUACCAGCCACGGGGUCCCAGCCCCUCUGGAGUCCGCAUUUAACUCCAGCUUCCCUACCACCACCUCCCCGACACUUACACAGAGCCCCUACUCGUACUCUGCUAGGGCUGUUUCCUCCGCGGCAACCUGUGGUGGGCAGCUGCUGGCCCCUCAGGUCAAAAGAUUGGCAUCGCUGAGGCGUUGAAAUGGACCUGCUCACUCGGGACAUCCUUCGCGGCCCUUUGAAGUGCGCAGGAGCCUUCCCGCUGGUUUCGGUGGGAACGGCCGCCUCCUUUGUCUGCUGUGCUAGUCGGGGUGUGCCAAUUAGCGUUCCCCACUGAUUGGGAGAGGAAAGGGCAAGGGACUGGAGACAGAUUUAUGAAGGUUGUGGAUGUCUGUAGACCAGGAUAUUUGACACGCGACCCUUCUAGCAUCUCAGCUGGCUAGAAACGAGUGGAAAAGACAGCCAGUUACGAGUGAAAGUCUUACACUGUGAAGCCAACAGUUACUCCUGUGGUGACAAAUACGGCCUGCGGAGCAACAGAAGAUGAACUGAAAAGCCAGACGUCGGAAUUAAAUUGCAAGAUGGUUGUUUUGACAGAGACGAUGACCUCCUGGAGUCCAGCAUUAUGUGAGGGUUGGCAUUGGUAACAACCAGCUCCCCCCUCAGUCACGUAGGGAAUCACUUUCCCAAGACAGUUCUCCUGCCAGCGAGGUUUGUUUGCUUGGUGGCAAGAAACAAUGGCCAACUCGGGUUGUUACUUGAAUGUUUAGUGACUGAGAAGUGGAAUCUGGCUUCAUGCUAAAUCCAUUCUCUUAGCUAGUCAAAUGCCAGCUUGGCAGCCUGUCUAUAAGCUGAUAGCACAGAUAGAGGAGUGGCUGGGGGGAUUGCUGUCAGCAGUCUCCGGUAAGUCUGCUUUUAAGACACCUCUUUCCAUUGGGGAAAAAACACGGUUACCGUCUUCAGGACUGGAUGAGAGAGGAGGGGGAGAGGCAUGGACAUUGUCUGGAGCUUGGUGUUGCCCUUUUCAAGGUGCCUUACAAGCAGUGAUGGGCUUAGCUUUGAGUCAGGCCAGCAUUCAUUCACUACAGCAGUGACAACCACAGUCAGCAGGAGGGGAAAGCAUGGCAUGUAGGACCUAGUUCUGCUCUUGUUGGAAGAACAACAACACAAGACGUGAGUUUUUCAAUUACCCAGUCUUAUUCUGCAAAGGGAAGCGCAGUUAGAGGUGGCACCCAGGUGCCUGGGGAACUCGGAGCAGGGCUGUGUGGUGAUACCCACAUCUCAAGUUGUGCCCUCACUGCGUGUGGCUUUUUAAAGUGCUGAGACUCGGCCUUCAGAUCAUAGAAUCACUCAGGUUGGUUGGAAAAGGCCUUCAUUGCCAGUGUGAGAGCACCACCCCAGACAAGGACAACGCACUAGGUUACAUCCUCGUUGUACUGAUGUCGCAAACAAGUUAUUCUUGUACACUGCAGAAAGCCUCACAACCACAAAACCAGCAAUAAUUUUAUAAAUGAUAAGCUUGUUUUCCUCCUCCUCUUCCCAGAUAUUCUGAGUACAGCAGGCAGCAGAGAUGUGCAUUGCUGGAAUCCGGAGAGUUUCAUAAUGUGGCAGCCGCUUGCUGAAAGCCCUGCAGAUACAAAACAACACUUAUUUUAAGUCUUGAGAAAUAUCUUCUCUUACCAAGGAGAAGAAAAGAACCCAAAACAUGUAGGUGAAGCAAUAUGGCCGGUUCCAUUUGUUUACGAGGCUUGUUUUUUGUCUUUAUACAUUUUAAAUGCUUUUUAUUUGUAUUCUGUUUUUUGAGCCUUUCAAGUUCAUGUUUUCCAUUUUUUUUUUUCAUACAACAAGAAAGUCUGGAAUUGAGUCCUUUAAAAACAAAACUCCGGUUGAGCGUCCCUGUAUAGCCAUGUAACUCCAGACACGGCGGGUUUAAAAAUAUCCCUGCUUUCAUGAGAAUUGCCCAUCUCUCAGUGCUAAGUUUAAGUAAGUGCUUUGUUGAAAGUUUAAGACGAUUAUAACAACACCUGUCUGUGUUUGCUUUCCAGGCAGAUCCCUCUCUUCUUUUCCAAACAUUUAGAGCUUGUCUCUCCUCUGCAUGUGCUGAUGGGGUCAGAAAUGCAGUGCACCAGCCUGGCUAACGCAUGUCGAAUAAUUCAUACAAGUGCUUGUGAAAGUACAGGUGUGCAGAUUUCAUGCCGUUGUCCCCCUAAGGUGCUGAGUGGUACCAGAGGGUACAGAGCCCACCGUCCGGGCAGCAGGGGGAGGGUGGUGCUGCCAUCCCGGGAGCAGAAAGCCUCGGUGACUCCCUGGGGGAACCACAAAUGCCUCCAGAGCAUGAUGUUUAACCCAGUCCUUGAUUUUGGGAGGCAGUUGACAGACGAGUGAUUUCUUUUGGUUCACUUUGCUGAAUGUAACGGCUUUAACUCUGCUGUGUGACGUGGUGCUGUUCCCGAGUUCACCACGAAGGAGACGUCCUCGCUCAGCGUGCAGGUUUGUCUUCCACUGCUGGGCACACACAAGUGCCUGGAAAUGCGAUAUCCAAGGGACACAGAAACAGCUUUUUGGCCGGCUGCUCUUUCUGUUCUCUCUCUAGCCAUAACGCCCGGUAAAAGCGGAGCCUUUUGCCUGCCUCACUGCUCCGUAAAAGCCCCGCUCUGGGCUGCCAGGCCCAGGCUGGCACUUCCAGGAGGUUACCGCUCUACUUGUGUGGUUUGAAUCGCUUAAGUCUUUGGCCUUGUGCCUUCAAGUGCCAGCAGAGGCAUGCUGUAAUUGCCCGUAAAUGCACCGUCUGUCAUAUUAUUGUUUAAUUAUUCCAGCUUCUCACUGCCACACACUGCUUAGUGUCUCUCUUGCUAUCUUUAUUUAAUUGAGUGGAAAAAAUCCGAGACUUGCGCUUCGCUUACGUCACUUUGUAUUUACCCAGCAUCACUGGAUCCUACUUUGAAGUCCCAGCUUUUGUACGUAGAAGCCAGCCUUCUACGCAGAAAAAAAAUAAUGUAAAUGUCUAAAGCAUAUGUUAGAGACAGAAUCAAUAUUUUAACACAUGGUAAACUCGGGCCAUAAAUCUCUUAACACAGUCAGAUGAUUGUAUUGUUCUCCUUUCAAACUCUGCUCUGCCCCUUGAGAAACAAGACAGGGAAAGAAAACCAUGAAUAACCAAGCCCUUGUCCUCACAAUGCAGGAUUGUUCUUAGCCUGUCACUUUGUCUGUGCCACCUCUUCCUUUUCUGGCUACUAGCUCUCUUUUUUCUUCUCCGCCGAAUGCCUUCAUCUCCAAGAGCCUUCUUUCCCUAGCCCAUCCCUACUGAUGGGUUUUAGCUUAUUAUCAGGAUAUCAGCUCUGUCCCGGGAUCAGCCUGUGUUGACCAGUCUCACUGCCCUCUUCUGACAGUUUCAAACACCUCUCUGCUUCCUCCAAGCCUGCAACAAACCCAUUAUUAAUGUGUGUGUUGAAAAAAGAAAUCAUCUCGCAGAGAUCUCUCCUUGUCCGUAUGGUCUAUAAAAAAACUUGGCAGCAUGUUGACUGCUUUCCUUUCCUCAUGCUCCCCGUGUCUGCGACAAAUAAACGCAUGUCAUUUUUCUGGUCCUAUUCUCAGUCUUCUGUCUCUGAACCAGAGCAACCUUUUUGUACAGCACCCAGCACACACAAUUGGGAUCAAGCAACUCUGUGUUACUGCACCAACGGUAAAUAUUAGGGUUGCUGGCACUCUCCCUGGACUAGUUUUCCUGUCUCUAGGCAAAGGGAGUUUCAUGAUGUCCUUUUGGAAGAUCACCGUGUGCUUGAAUAAAUCUUGCUUUCAGGACUUUUCUUUUUUUCAUAAAUCCUCAGCUGAAAUUUUCAUUCACAGGUGUGCUCCGUACAAUGCCUAGCUGCCUGGCAGAGCCAGCGUUGUUUCUGGGGCUGUGCUUUUGGCUUCCCAUAACCGUAAGAUUACUCAUUUCAUACUAUUUUCUGAUUUGUUUUAUUUUUCAUCCAUCUCUUUCCUGCAGGAAAGAGCAAUUUAUAUAAUGAUUUCACUGUGGAAUUGACUUCAGGCUUUACUGCUAUUUGUCACCAUUCAGGAAAUCCAUCCCUGGCUCCAGAAGAACACUCAGUCCCUGCUGACAGUCUGGAAGAGGGAGAGAAAAUAGAUAGCAGAGCUGAAGCUAUUAAGACCAACAGGCACAUAUUUUAUUCCAACUCAAUUUUCCCUUCCCAAAUACCUUUUAAAGAAAAUCUUUCUCUUUGAGAGACCGUGAAUUAAGGUUGGUUUUGUUUGUUUUUUUGAGGGAAGAGGUUGUUGUAGAUUUUUUGUUUUGUUUUGUUGUUGUUUUUUGGGGUACUUGCUGAUCUUCAUCUUCGUCCACAUUUCAGACAGCAGAGCCUGCAGCCAUGACACGAUGCAAUCCCAAGCAAAACGGCUGCUGCCUCUGGCCUUGGUUAACCUGCUGGCAGUGAUACUUGCCUGGGCAUGGGGCAGCUGGCUUUUUACACAGCUCAGCAUGGAUAUGCUGCCACUCCCAGUCACUUUUAGGACACAGCAGAGUUGUUUUUCUUAAGAUUACUUCUGAAGAAAAACAUGUAAUAAAAUGUUCGACCUUCCCAGGGCCACCACUCCCUGAGACCUUUCCCCUUUCUUGGCUUCUGUGAGAGCUUCUUUCCCUCGGCUUCACACCUUUAUCAGCUGAAAACGAUAAGGGUACAGAGCUGCUUGGCUCCAGGCUCUCCCUUUGAAGGACAGGCUGCGCUGCCACACCGUUGUGCCUCUGGGGGACUGGACGAUCACCGAGGACAAUGGGGAAGUGAAGUCUGCUCCCUCUUUUGUGUGGAGCAGAGGCAGGACUUGGCCUUUUAUGAAGUUCAGCAGGGGAAAACUCGGGCUUUCGCACUCGUGUUCCUGCAUUCCGUGCCCUACCCGUCAGCCUGGUGCUAAUCUUCACGGACCUUUGAAGGCAAGAAACGACACGCAGUGCAAAUGAAAGCUUAGCCAGGGUAUUGGUGCCAGCCAGUUUUAGAAGUCUGACACGGGAGCCAAGUGGAACAGGUACAGGGGCAGGAGAUGCCGUGUACCACCUGCAGGCACACAGACCUACGGUGCUUGCGCAGCAUCGGAGCCCAACGGCAAAGCGCGGCGGGCGAGGAGCUGGGGAGCCCAGGGCCACAUCAGGCUCAAAUGCACUUUCCCGGGGAGGAAGUGGCUUUUCCCUUGGAAAGCUCAACUCCCCAGGGUCCCUAUGAGGUCAAUGGAAAAAGUGAUUUCUUCAGAACAUGAUUCAGAGUGCCUGAACACAGGCUUAUCAUUUCAACUAGGGAUGGAGCUUAGCCUCUGUAGUUUUAAAGUAAAUUUGUGAGUACCCAUCCCCUCCUACCCCCUAGUUUGGGACUGAUGCUGGGGGUUAGUGGUAGGCAGGGUGCCCACCACAAUUCAGAUGCUGCAGACCCAAAGCCUUGUCUGCUACAGCGCUGCAUGUCCUAUUGGAUCCUGCUUUGUCCUUGUGGCAUCUCCUGGGAUGUCAGAAAUGGAUCUGCAAGUAGCAGAAGAAUCAAAUGAAGUCAAGAAAUGUUGGUUUCUUUAUGGAUAGCCUGACUGGAGCUGGAAUAAUCAGCAUCUGUUUCAGUUUAAGCGAGUUUUCAUUCCAGCCUCUCUCCCUUUUCAAAGUACAGACAACCGAAGCCUUUAAUUUGCCGUGUCUUUCACUAGAGAAAAGUAGGAGUUUCUAGCAGCUGAUACUAUCCUGCCUCGAAAUCUACACUACAAAAAUACAGUUUAUUGUCUGUUGUGAAUGAAAAAGCUCUCGCUUGUUUCUCUUGUUUGUAGUGUUGACUUUGAAAGAUAAAUUGUUUGAACUGGUUGACUCUCCGUUUGUGUAAGUGAAGAUUAGCUUGCUUGAUAGCCGGCUGGAUUUGCAGUUUCCCCUUGCACUAAAUAAACCGAAGACCUGCCAGCCUGGGGCAGUUAGGACACAGCACAGACUUGAAAAAGUCGGUGUGCAUGCUGGUGAAUAUGGGAAACUCCUCUCAUGUCUGGCAUUUUGGAUGUGCCAUUUCAGGGUCGGUGUGUCCUGCCUUUCCUCCUGGAGAAGCCCUUGUAGGACCUGGAAAGCGCGUCUGAAACCUUGCUACCAGAUAGGUUCCUAAUGAGU